rnacentral:rRNA from 1 species
GCUUACGGCCAUACCAACCCUGAAACACGCGCCGACUCGUCCGAUCUCGGAGCUAAGCAGGGUCGGGCCUGGUUAGUACUUGGAUGGGAGACCGCCUGGGAAUACCAGGUGCUGUAAGCU